rnacentral:rRNA from 1 species
ACGGUAGCAGGUCUUCGGAUGCUGACGAGUGGCGGACGGGUGAGUAACGCGUAGGAAUCUGCCUAUUAGUGGGGGACAACGUGUGGAAACGCACGCUAAUACCGCAUACGCCCUACGGGGGAAAGGAGGGGAUCUUCGGACCUUUCGCUAAUAGAUGAGCCUGCGUAGGAUUAGCUAGUUGGUAGGGUAAAGGCCUACCAAGGCGACGAUCCUUAGCUGUUCUGAGAGGAAGAUCAGCCACACUGGGACUGAGACACGGCCCAGACUCCUACGGGAGGCAGCAGUGGGGAAUAUUGGACAAUGGGCGAAAGCCUGAUCCAGCAAUACCGCGUGUGUGAAGAAGGCCUUAGGGUUGUAAAGCACUUUCAAUUGGGAGGAAAAAACAAGGGUCAAUACCCCUUGUCUUGACAUUACCUUUAGAAGAAGCACCGGCUAACUCCGUGCCAGCAGCCGCGGUAAUACGGAGGGUGCGAGCGUUAAUCGGAAUUACUGGGCGUAAAGAGUGCGUAGGCGGCUCGUUAAGUCAGAUGUGAAAGCCCUGGGCUCAACCUGGGAACUGCAUUUGAAACUGGCGAGCUAGAGUUGAGUAGAGGUAAGUGGAAUUUCAGGUGUAGCGGUGAAAUGCGUAGAUAUCUGAAGGAACACCAGUGGCGAAGGCGACUUACUGGACUCAAACUGACGCUGAGGUACGAAAGCGUGGGUAGCAAACAGGAUUAGAUACCCUGGUAGUCCACGCCGUAAACGAUGUCAACUAGCCGUUGGUCCUAUAUACAGGAUUAGUGGCGCAGCUAACGCAUUAAGUUGACCGCCUGGGGAGUA